rnacentral:tRNA from 1 species
UAGUGUAGUGGUUAGCACUCUGGACUUUGAAUCCAGCGACUCGGGUUCAAAUCCCGA